CGCUGAUGCUUCGUGAAGGCAAGCCAGAUCAUUUUUUGCUCUCUCUGGCUGAUGCUUGGGGAAACUGAUGCACGGCAGAGUCGGUCACUUGAGCAGGCAAAGAGGAGAGGCACACGGGGACAGCGGGGAGGUGAGACUUCUCCUGAUGUGAACGGAGCAGGGCUGCCCGAGUGCAAGCUGCAACCCGAGGGCACAAACCCAGGCUGGCUUUGUUCCCAAUUCUUCUAAUAGAGAAAGCAGUGCUGGAGGUAAGGGGGGAGUAAAAAAAGGGAAAAGGAAAAGGAAAAAAAGGAAAAGGAAAAAAAAAGAAAAAGGAAAAAAAAAAAGAAAA